UACGUAGGGGGCAAGCGUUGUCCGGAUUUAUUGGGCGUAAAGAGCGUGUAGGCGGCUUUGCAAGUCCGUUGUGAAAACUCGAGGCUCAACCUCGAGACGCCGGUGGAAACUGCAAAGCUAGAGUCCGGAAGAGGAGAGUGGAAUUCCUGGUGUAGCGGUGAAAUGCGCAGAUAUCAGGAAGAACACCCGUGGCGAAGGCGGUUCUCUGGGCCUGACCUGACGCUGAGGAGCGAAAGCGUGGGGAGCGAACAGG
rnacentral:rRNA from 1 species